GAUGAACGCUGGCGGCGUGCCUAAUACAUGCAAGUCGAGCGAACGGACGAGAAGCUUGCUUCUCUGAUGUUAGCGGCGGACGGGUGAGUAACACGUGGAUAACCUACCUAUAAGACUGGGAUAACUUCGGGAAACCGGAGCUAAUACCGGAUAAUAUUUUGAACCGCAUGGUUCAAAAGUGAAAGACGGUCUUGCUGUCACUUAUAGAUGGAUCCGCGCUGCAUUAGCUAGUUGGUAAGGUAACGGCUUACCAAGGCAACGAUGCAUAGUCGACCUGAGAGGGUGAUCGGCCACACUGGAACUGAGACACGGUCCAGACUCCUACGGGAGGCAGCAGUAGGGAAUCUUCCGCAAUGGGCGAAAGCCUGACGGAGCAACGCCGCGUGAGUGAUGAAGGUCUUCGGAUCGUAAAACUCUGUUAUUAGGGAAGAACAUAUGUGCAAGUAACUGUGCACAUCUUGACGGUACCUAAUCAGAAAGCCACGGCUAACUACGUG
rnacentral:rRNA from 1 species